GAUGAACGCUGGCGGCGUGCCUAAUACAUGCAAGUCGAGCGAAUGGAUUAAGAGCUUGCUCUUAUGAAGUUAGCGGCGGACGGGUGAGUAACACGUGGGUAACCUGCCCAUAAGACUGGGAUAACUCCGGGAAGCCGGGGCUAAUACCGGAUAACAUUUUGAACCGCAUGGCUCGAAAUUGAAAGGCGGCUUCGGCUGUCACUUAUGGAUGGACCCGCGGCGCAUUAGCUAGUUGGUGAGGUAACGGCUCACCAAGGCAACGAUGCGUAGCCGACCUGAGAGGGUGAUCGGCCACACUGGGACUGAGACACGGCCCAGACUCCUACGGGAGGCAGCAGUAGGGAAUCUUCCGCAAUGGACGAAAGUCUGACGGAGCAACGCCGCGUGAGUGAUGAAGGCUUUCGGGUCGUAAAACUCUGUUGUUAGGGAAGAACAAGUGCUAGUUGAAUAAGCUGGCACCUUGACGGUACCUAACCAGAAAGCCACGGCUAACUACGUGCCAGCCGCCGCAGUAA
rnacentral:rRNA from 1 species